rnacentral:tRNA from 1 species
GGAAAGGUGGGUGAGUGGCUGAAACCGCUAGUCUCGAAAACUAGUAUGGGGGCAACUCCAUCGAGGGUUCAAAUCCCUCCCUUUCCGCCA